rnacentral:lncRNA from 1 species
GUUCAGUCAAGGAGAGAGAGAGGCUGCUGGCAGCUUUUCUGCUGAACUCCUUGGGAGCUGCGAUCCAAGCUUUCUGCAGACUGACAUGGAGUGCCUUCUGCAGAGCUCAGUGGCUUCUCUGGCUCACUCCCAAAGCCAGGGUGAAACGGAGCUGGCAUCUAGAAGUCUAACUCAGCUGGCAGAGAGGAGAAGCAGCGGGACAUCAGGACUAUGGCUGGACGUCAGAGAGAAGCAGCUUAACUUCAGAGGUGCAGCUUGAUGGUGUAACUUAGGAGAAGAAUCUGACUGGAGACGGCCAGACUUCAGAAGAAGAUGACCUACCCCCCCAUCCCCUUUUCAGCUUCCCUUCCCGCUGAGAGCCACUUUUAUUGGCAAUAAAAUCCUCCACAUUUACCACCUUUCAAUGUGUUCAUGUGACUUCAUUAUUCCUGGACACCGGACAAGAGCUCAGGGGCCACAGGUGUGGAUAUGAAA